rnacentral:rRNA from 1 species
AGAGUUUGAUCAUGGCUCAGAAUCAACGCUGGCGGCGUGCCUCAGACAUGCAAGUCGAACGCGAAAGUUUCCUUCGGGAAACAAGUAGAGUGGCGCACGGGUGAGUAACACGUAGGUAAUCUACCUUUGGAUGGGGAAUAACAACCGGAAACGGUUGCUAAUACCGCAUAAUGCAGCGGCACCUAAUGGUGACAGUUGUUAAAGCGGGGGAUCGAAAGACCUCGCGUCUAAAGAGGAGCCUGCGGCGGAUUAGCUAGUUGGUAAGGUAAUGGCUUACCAAGGCUACGAUCCGUAACCGGCCUGAGAGGGCGGUCGGUCACACUGACACUGACAUACGGGUCAGACUCCUACGGGAGGCAGCAGUCGGGAAUUUUGGGCAAUGGGCGAAAGCCUGACCCAGCAACGCCGCGUGAAGGAUGAAAUCCCUCGGGAUGUAAACUUCGCAAGAACGGGAAGAAUAAGUAGGGGACAAUACCCCCUAUGAUGACGGUACCGUUUGUAAGCUCCGGCUAACUCCGUGCCAGCCGCCGCGGUAAUUC